UACUCAGUCUUUCAAAACACACAGUGCAUCGGUCUCUUCGCUAUAACGGGCUAUGUUCGUUUCAUUUUCAGAAAGUGCAACAACUUUUGCCGGGAGAUGAAGUACAACGCGUCCAUUUUUGUGGAAGAUUCCUCGCGCAGUGUCGACGAAAUGCUCUGUUUCUCGACCGCAUCCUGUGAACGGACGAAGCGACCUUCACUCUGAACGGCGUGUUUAAUUCUCGCAAUUUUUUAUUGUGGGAUACAGAGAAUCCGCACGCCGUUCGGCAAGGCGCGUUUCAGUAUCGUUAUACGAUAAACGUAUGGGCAGGAAUAAUAGCGGACCAAGUCAUUGGUCCCUAUUUUCUCUCAGCAAGGUUAAAUGGAGAAGUGUAUGCGCAGUUUGUUGAAAAUCAGUUGCUCGUACUUUUCGAGAACGUUCCUCUCCGUGUGCGGCAACAGCUGAUUUUUCAAUACGACGGAGCACCAGCGCACUUCAGCCGACGAGCACGACAAGUGUUAGAUGCGCGUUACGCAGAAAGGUGAAUAGGUCGUGGUGGCCCGAUCAUCUGGCCGGCGCGAUUGCCAGAUCUGAAUGUGUUAGACUACUUCGUUUGGGAUUACAUCAAACAGUUAGUCGAGCACAGACGUGAUGACGAAGAAGAUGCAGUACGAGAAGCAAUUCUCGCUGCAUUUAAUUCGAUCACUUCAGAAAUGGCGCACCGCGCGAUGCGCGAUAUUGUGAGCAGAGCGAACGCUUGUUUGCAAGAACACGGUUCGCAUUUUGAACAAUUGUUAACUUAAAUUAUGAGAGUGGAUUAGACUUACUGGGGUAUACCACUAUAAAAAAAUGCGCCAUGCUAUCUACCGCAAGGUGGCGUGGAAA